GCCUGGGUAGCUCAAUUGGUAGAGCGCCGCAUCAGUAAACCGCGGAGGUUGGGAGUUCGACUCUCCUCCUGGCU
rnacentral:tRNA from 1 species